AGGAGCAGACAAGACUGAUUGGGAAUGGUUGGUCAAGGAACAUUUUUUAUCUGAUAAGUUUAAGGGAGGCAAAAAUGGUAAUCCACCAAACAUGGCAACUAUCUUCUUUGAGACUCGUAAAAAGGGAAAUGAGCUUAUCGAACCUGAAACCAAUGAAAAAUAUGCUGAAAUUCAAGAGCUUGUACAAACUGAACC